GCCUGCGCAAACCAGCUGCCUCACCAGCCCUGGAGCUCGCACCACGUGGCCUCACCUCACGUGUGCUGUCCCCCUGGCCACGUCUGUCUUUGUCUCACCUGACGUGCUGUGCCUCUCCUGCCAGGGCUCUGUCCUGUCUGCCGCCACUACCGCCGCAUGGCCCUGCUCGGCCUGCAGCCCGCUCGCCGCUUCGCUCCCUCAGAGACCCCGCGCCAGCGGUCCGUAUUGGCCACGGUCAUAUUUCUCUGCUUCUUUGCACGCCUGAUAAUUUUUAACUUGAUAUCUACAUUGUGAAUUUCACCUUGGUAGGCACACAGGUGGCUGGACAUCGAGAGGAGCACAUCAGUGGAGGAACACACGGGUUGCUGGACAUGGAGAGGAAUGCACCAACAGGCACCGGCAGCGGGGAGGCCACUGACCGGCAGAACAACGCAGAGUUUGGCUGGGGCAAUUGGAGGAGAGCCUGGAACACUGAGUGGCCCAACUCCAGGGGAAAACCAGUCUCCCUUCUGGCUUCCUCAUCUACUGAGAGCUACUUCUACUCAAUAAAACCUUGCACUCAUUCUCCAAGCCCACGUGUGAUCCGAUUCUUCCAGUACACCAAGGCGAGAACCCCAGGAUACAGAAAGCCCCCUGUCCUUGUGAUAAGUCAGGGGUCUAAUUGAGCUGACUAACACAAGCCGCCUAUGGACAGCUAAACGAAAACAGCACUCUGUAACACAUGCCCACGGGGGCUUCAGCUGUAAACAUUCACCCGCUAAACACUGCAGUGGGGUCAGAGCCCCACAGCCUGCCCAUCUGUAUGCUCCCCUAGAGGUUUGAGCAGCAGGGCACUGAAGAAGCGAGUCACACCCCCAUUGCACAGCCUGCUAGGGGGACAAGGGAACUUUUCCCAUUUCAGAAAGAUAUCUCAAAAGGCCAACCUUAGGUUCUAUAACAGUGAUGUUAUCUGCAGAAGUAAUUGGGGAAGUUGCAUGUCUUGUGACCUUCAAAAUAAAUGGCUGGCAAUCUUUUAUGUCUAUACUUUGAAGAAUUCAG
rnacentral:lncRNA from 10 species